rnacentral:rRNA from 1 species
UACGUAGGGUGCGAGCGUUAAUCGGAAUUACUGGGCGUAAAGCGUGCGCAGGCGGUUGUGUAAGACAGGUGUGAAAUCCCCGGGCUUAACCUGGGAACUGCGCUUGUGACUGCACGGCUAGAGUACGGCAGAGGGGGGUGGAAUUCCACGUGUAGCAGUGAAAUGCGUAGAUAUGUGGAGGAACACCGAUGGCGAAGGCAGCCCCCUGGGCCGAUACUGACGCUCAUGCACGAAAGCGUGGGGAGCAAAC